UGGAGUNCGGUAGGGGUAGAGGGAAUUCCCAGUGUAGCGGUGAAAUGCGUAGAUAUUGGGAAGAACACCAGUGGCGAAGGCGCUCUACUGGNCCGCAACUGACGCUGAGGGACGAAAGCUAGGGGAGCGAAAGGGAUUAGAUACCCCUGUAGUCCUAGCUGUAAACGAUGGAUACUAGGUGUUGGGCGUAUCGACCCGUUCAGUACCGAAGUCAACGCGAUAAGUAUCCCGCCUGGGGAGUACGCACGCAAGUGUGAAACUCAAAGGAAUUGACGGGGGCCCGCACAAGCGGUGGAGUAUGUGGUUUAAUUCGAUGCAACGCGAAGAACCUUACCAGGGCUUGACAUCCCUCGAAUCUCUGAGAAAUUGGAGAGUGCCUUCGGGAGCGAGGAGACAGGUGGUGCAUGGCUGUCGUCAGCUCGUGUCGUGAGAUGUUGGGUUAAGUCCCGCAACGAGCGCAACCCACGUCCUUAGUUGCCAUCAUUCAGUUGGGCACUCUGGGGAGACUGCCGGGGACAACUCGGAGGAAGGUGUGGAUGACGUCAAGUCAUCAUGCCCCUUACGUUCUGGGCUACACACGUACUACAAUGCUUUGGACAAAGGGCAGCCAACUAGCGAUAGUGAGCUAAUCCCAUAAACCGAGGCACAGUUCAGAUUGCAGGCUGCAACUCGCCUGCAUGAAGGAGGAAUCGCUAGUAAUCGCAGGUCAGCAUACUGCGGUGAAUACGUUCCCGGGCCUUGUACACACCGCCCGUCACACCAUGGGAGUUGGCCACGCCCGAAGUCGUUACUCUAACCAUUCGUGGAGGAGGCG
rnacentral:rRNA from 1 species